rnacentral:rRNA from 1 species
CGCGGCCUAUCAGCUUGUUGGUGAGGUAACGGCUCACCAAGGCAUCGACGGGUAGCUGGUCUGAGAGGAUGAUCAGCCACACUGGGACUGAGACACGGCCCAGACUCCUACGGGAGGCAGCAGUAGGGAAUCUUGCGCAAUGGGCGAAAGCCUGACGCAGCAACGCCGCGUGGGGGAUGAAUGCCUUCGGGUUGUAAACCCCUUUCAGCAGGGACGAAAAUGACGGUACCUGCAGAAGAAGCUCCGGCCAACUACGUGCCAGCAGCCGCGGUAAUACGUAGGGAGCGAGCGUUGUCCGGAAUUAUUGGGCGUAAAGAGCUCGUAGGCGGUUCAGUAAGUCGGGUGUGAAAACUCAAGGCUCAACCUUGAGACGCCACUCGAUACUGCUGUGACUUGAGUCCGGUAGAGGAGUGUGGAAUUCCUGGUGUAGCGGUGAAAUGCGCAGAUAUCAGGAGGAACACCAGCGGCGAAGGCGGCACUCUGGGCCGGUACUGACGCUGAGGAGCGAAAGCAUGGGGAGCAAACAGGAUUAGAUACCCUGGUAGUCCAUGCCGUAAACGUUGGGCACUAGGUAUGGGAUCAUAUCAACGGAUUCCGUGCCGUAGCUAACGCAUUAAGUGCCCCGCCUGGGGAGUACGG